rnacentral:rRNA from 1 species
UUAAGCGACUAAGCGUACACGGUGGAUGCCCUGGCAGUCAGAGGCGAUGAAGGACGUGCUAAUCUGCGAUAAGCGUCGGUAAGGUGAUAUGAACCGUUAUAACCGGCGAUUUCCGAAUGGGGAAACCCAGUGUGAUUCGUCACACUAUCAUUAACUGAAUCCAUAGGUUAAUGAGGCGAACCGGGGGAACUGAAACAUCUAAGUACCCCGAGGAAAAGAAAUCAACCGAGAUUCCCCCAGUAGCGGCGAGCGAACGGGGAGCAGCCCAGAGCCUGAAUCAGUGUGUGUGUUAGUGGAAGCGUCUGGAAAGGCGCGCGAUACAGGGUGACAGCCCCGUACACAAAAAUGCACAUGCUGUGAGCUCGAUGAGUAGGGCGGGACACGUGGUAUCCUGUCUGAAUAUGGGGGGACCAUCCUCCAAGGCUAAAUACUCCUGACUGACCGAUAGUGAACCAGUACCGUGAGGGAAAGGCGAAAAGAACCCCGGCGAGGGGAGUGAAAAAGAACCUGAAACCGUGUACGUACAAGCAGUGGGAGCACAGAGCAAUCUGUGUGACUGCGUACCUUUUGUAUAAUGGGUCAGCGACUUAUAUUCUGUAGCAAGGUUAACCGAAUAGGGGAGCCGAAGGGAAACCGAGUCUUAACUGGGCGUUAAGUUGCAGGGUAUAGACCCGAAACCCGGUGAUCUAGCCAUGGGCAGGUUGAAGGUUGGGUAACACUAACUGGAGGACCGAACCGACUAAUGUUGAAAAAUUAGCGGAUGACUUGUGGCUGGGGGUGAAAGGCCAAUCAAACCGGGAGAUAGCUGGUUCUCCCCGAAAGCUAUUUAGGUAGCGCCUCGUGAAUUCAUCUCCGGGGGUAGAGCACUGUUUCGGCAAGGGGGUCAUCCCGACUUACCAACCCGAUGCAAACUGCGAAUACCGGAGAAUGUUAUCACGGGAGACACACGGCGGGUGCUAACGUCCGUCGUGAAGAGGGAAACAACCCAGACCGCCAGCUAAGGUCCCAAAGUCAUGGUUAAGUGGGAAACGAUGUGGGAAGGCCCAGACAGCCAGGAUGUUGGCUUAGAAGCAGCCAUCAUUUAAAGAAAGCGUAAUAGCUCACUGGUCGAGUCGGCCUGCGCGGAAGAUGUAACGGGGCUAAACCAUGCACCGAAGCUGCGGCAGCGACACUAUGUGUUGUUGGGUAGGGGAGCGUUCUGUAAGCCUGUGAAGGUGUACUGUGAGGUAUGCUGGAGGUAUCAGAAGUGCGAAUGCUGACAUAAGUAACGAUAAAGCGGGUGAAAAGCCCGCUCGCCGGAAGACCAAGGGUUCCUGUCCAACGUUAAUCGGGGCAGGGUGAGUCGACCCCUAAGGCGAGGCCGAAAGGCGUAGUCGAUGGGAAACAGGUUAAUAUUCCUGUACUUGGUGUUACUGCGAAGGGGGGACGGAGAAGGCUAUGUUGGCCGGGCGACGGUUGUCCCGGUUUAAGCGUGUAGGCUGGUUUUCCAGGCAAAUCCGGAAAAUCAAGGCUGAGGCGUGAUGACGAGGCACUACGGUGCUGAAGCAACAAAUGCCCUGCUUCCAGGAAAAGCCUCUAAGCAUCAGGUAACAUCAAAUCGUACCCCAAACCGACACAGGUGGUCAGGUAGAGAAUACCAAGGCGCUUGAGAGAACUCGGGUGAAGGAACUAGGCAAAAUGGUGCCGUAACUUCGGGAGAAGGCACGCUGAUAUGUAGGUGAAGCGACUUGCUCGUGGAGCUGAAAUCAGUCGAAGAUACCAGCUGGCUGCAACUGUUUAUUAAAAACACAGCACUGUGCAAACACGAAAGUGGACGUAUACGGUGUGACGCCUGCCCGGUGCCGGAAGGUUAAUUGAUGGGGUCAGCGCAAGCGAAGCUCUUGAUCGAAGCCCCGGUAAACGGCGGCCGUAACUAUAACGGUCCUAAGGUAGCGAAAUUCCUUGUCGGGUAAGUUCCGACCUGCACGAAUGGCGUAAUGAUGGCCAGGCUGUCUCCACCCGAGACUCAGUGAAAUUGAACUCGCUGUGAAGAUGCAGUGUACCCGCGGCAAGACGGAAAGACCCCGUGAACCUUUACUAUAGCUUGACACUGAACAUUGAGCCUUGAUGUGUAGGAUAGGUGGGAGGCUUGGAAGUGUGGACGCCAGUCUGCAUGGAGCCGACCUUGAAAUACCACCCUUUAAUGUUUGAUGUUCUAACGUUGACCCGUGAUCCGGGUUGCGGACAGUGUCUGGUGGGUAGUUUGACUGGGGCGGUCUCCUCCUAAAGAGUAACGGAGGAGCACGAAGGUUGGCUAAUCCUGGUCGGACAUCAGGAGGUUAGUGCAAUGGCAUAAGCCAGCUUGACUGCGAGCGUGACGGCGCGAGCAGGUGCGAAAGCAGGUCAUAGUGAUCCGGUGGUUCUGAAUGGAAGGGCCAUCGCUCAACGGAUAAAAGGUACUCCGGGGAUAACAGGCUGAUACCGCCCAAGAGUUCAUAUCGACGGCGGUGUUUGGCACCUCGAUGUCGGCUCAUCACAUCCUGGGGCUGAAGUAGGUCCCAAGGGUAUGGCUGUUCGCCAUUUAAAGUGGUACGCGAGCUGGGUUUAGAACGUCGUGAGACAGUUCGGUCCCUAUCUGCCGUGGGCGCUGGAGAACUGAGGGGGGCUGCUCCUAGUACGAGAGGACCGGAGUGGACGCAUCACUGGUGUUCGGGUUGUCAUGCCAAUGGCACUGCCCGGUAGCUAAAUGCGGAAGAGAUAAGUGCUGAAAGCAUCUAAGCACGAAACUUGCCCCGAGAUGAGUUCUCCCUGACUCCUUGAGAGUCCUGAAGGAACGUUGAAGACGACGACGUUGAUAGGCCGGGUGUGUAAGCGCAGCGAUGCGUUGAGCUAACCGGUACUAAUGAACCGUGAGGCUUAACCUU